UUUUAGAAUGAAAAUACCUGGGAGAAACAACUUAACCAAAUCAUGAUUGGGAACACCAAAAUGAAUGUUAAUCUUCACAAGUUUAACAGAACACCAAGGGGGUUUGAAGGUACUAGUAAAGGAUCCAAAAGUUCAAGAGUAGCUCCACGACAUAACAGAUUGAAUGGGGGAUAAUAACAGUGGUUGGCAACGAUAAAGGAAAAGGGAAGGUACGCGAAGAUACCUUUGCACAGGUAAUCCAACAUCGUACGCAUGGCAAUAGAAUGAAAUGGCAAGAAAAGACAAAGAAAAAC
rnacentral:lncRNA from 1 species